rnacentral:misc_RNA from 1 species
GAUGAAGAACGCAGCGAAAUGCGAUACGUAAUGUGAAUUGCAGAAUUCAGUGAAUCAUCGAAUCUUUGAACGCAUAUUGCGCUCUCUGGUAUUCCGGAGAGCAUGCUUGUUUGAGUAUCAGUAAACACCUCAACUUCCAUAUCUUUUUUGAAAUGGGAGUUGGACUUGAGUGAUCCCAACGCUUUUCCUCACCGAAAAGUGGCGGGUUACUUGAAAUGCAGGUGCAGCUGGACUUUUCUCUGAGCUAUAAGCAUAUCUAUUUAGUCUGCCUAAAAAACAGAUUAUUACCUUUGCUGAAGCUAACAUAAAGGAGAUUAGUUCUUGUGCUGACUGAUGCAGGAUUCACAAAGACAGGCUUCGGCCGACUUUGUAAACUCGAUCUCAAAUCAAGUAAGACUACCCGCUGAACUUAAGCAUAUCAAUAAGCGGAGGA